GAUGAACGCUGGCGGCGUGCCUAAUACAUGCAAGUCGAGCGAACAGACGAGGCGCUUGCUCCUCUGACGUUAUCGGCUGACGUGUGAGUAACACGUGGAUAACCUACCUAUAAUACUGGGAUAACUUCGGGAAACCGUAUCUAAUACCGGAUAAUAUAUUGAACCUCAUGGUUCAAUAGUUCAAGACGGUUUUGCUGUCACUUAUAGAUGGAUCCGCGCCGCAUUAGCUAGUUGGUAAGGUAACGGCUUACCAAGGCAACGAUGCGUAGCCGACCUGAGAGGGUGAUCGGCCACACUGGAAGUGAGACACGGUACAGACGACUACGGGAGGCAGCAGUAGGGAAUAUGCCGCAAUGGGCGAAAGCUUGACGGAGCAAAGCCGAGUGAGUGAUGAAGGUCUUCGGAUCGUAAAACUCUGUUAUUAGGGAAGAACAAAUGUGUAAGUAACUAUGCACGUAUUGACGGUACCUAAUCAGAAAGCCACGGCUAACUACGUG
rnacentral:rRNA from 1 species